UGCUGGCCACCGCCACCCACGUGGUCAAAGCCGGGCCCUGCAGGCUGCAGAGCAUCUGAUUGCGCGUUUCGGCUGGCGGGGUUCCUAGUUGUCGCCGAGAGGGACUUACUGCAAGCUAGCAGAUCUGGGGUCUUAUUUUGUUGAGUCGAAAGUGAAAUUUUCCAUCGGCCGACGUGACAGGGCUUUGUUUGGUGGUAAAAAAAAGGGUGCUAGAGACCCCUUAUCCCACGGCCACUGGGGGGCGCAUUUCUCAGCUCUUGCUCUUCAAACCUGCUAGAAGGAAUUCCUAUAUCUAAACACCAGGUCCUCAGAUUCAGCAUUUAAAAUUGAACUCAUCAUCUUCCCCUGCCUCCCUUAAAGGAAUAAAGUCAAUAUACUUCUGCUGUGUGUCCUGCUAUGCUCAAUAGUACCACUAUCCAAAUAAUUGCUUAAGCUGGGAGGAGGAAGCUGGGAAGAAUCCUAGACUCUGGCUUCCGCUCUCACAUGUCCAAUCAAUGGUCAAGCCCUAUCAUUUCUAUUCGCAGAACAUUUCUCAAAUAGGUCCUCUGGUCUCUAUCCUCUCUGCCUGUGACAUGGUUUGUGUUCUUCUCAUCAUUUCUCACUGAGGUUACAGCAAUAGCCUGCUAACUAGUUUGUCUGCAUUCAGCCCUGGCUUCCCUCCAGUCCAUUCUCCAGUCCACCCUUGGAUGAGCUUAACAACAACAAAACAU